AGAUGAACCUAACCUAGGAAGGGAUUGCUAAAGGCUACUUGAAGGGUUCAUUUCUUUUAAUCUCCCUGUAAGCUGAAGGUGUUAAAUACCUCCCAGAAAACAUGGGCACACCACAGCUGGUAUCUUCAGGUAAACUGGGAGCCUCACCAAACAAAUAGGUCUCAGGUGCUCCAGAAAAAGCAGAAACAACUCAGGACCUGGAAGGUCAUGAGAGUUUCAGCUUCCCACUUAGUUCUCCCUCUUGCUGACUACCUCUCUAGUUACUAUUUAAUAAACUGUCUACUCUACACUUACCCAAGAUUUGCACUCAGUGGAAAGUGUUUCUUUACACUGCAAGUUACAGAGGACAGCAGCAUUUCUCCUGUGUAGUCAAGUGCUGUUCACUACCACUUAUGCAUCAUUAUGUGAUUAUGAAUACCAUUCCCCAAAGAGGAAGAGAGGAAGAAGAUGCAAAAGCAAACAAAAGAUCAUUUCACCGGAGCUGCCAGUAACACUCCAGAGCCUGGUGACAAAAGAACAGCAAAGAUUGCUUUGAAAUAAACAUAAUGAAUGAAAAAGAAGAAAAUCCCACAACAGAUGAAUGUGGGAAUUGAAGGCAGAGACCUGAGCCAAAUCAUCGGUUUAUGUGUGUUUCUGGAAUUACAAACUUAGAGAGAUGCUACCUCAAACCAGCCCUUCAAUGCAUUGCCACUGCCUUUUCCUGCACACCACAUUUCUGCAUCAGAUGGCAACACAUGCCAUUUCCCUAUUUAGUGCUGUACCUUAACCACACAGCAGCUGGCAAAUCCAAGUCAGAAGCUCCCUCCAUAGCCAGUGAGUUUGCCCUAGGUGCAUGCAAAGCACGGCUGCCAGGCGCAGCAGCUCCCUCACUGCAGUACCCAGCCCUCUGGCCAGCAGUCAGUGCCAGCUGAGCCAGGAUGUUACGAGUAG